ensembl:lncRNA
GAACUCUCCUGGGACUGACCGCAGUGUCACUUUCCUUGAUGGGUCAUUGAGGUUUGGGUUCUGCCCUCUUCACGCAUCUCCUCUGGCUGCAGAACAAGUCAGUGGCACCACAUUAAUCAUUCAAGCUGACUGGAAAGACUGCAAGCAACAGCUGAGUUUAAAACAACAACAACAACAAAAAAGAACAGAACUACAACAACAACAACAAAAAAACAACCAAAAAGGCCCACACACUUUGAAAAGAAAGAACCAACUGGGAGAGAGAUUGCUUUUUUCCCUUAAGUUUUUUUAAAAAAACAGCAACAACAAUGAAAAAAGAACAAUUGGUAGGAAACAAAUUGCACUAUAAUGGCUGGUUGGAAGGGCUGUACUUCAGCUCAGGAGAAAAGAUUUACAAAUAUGAAUUUACCUGGGGAACAUAAAACUAGGGUGAGAGCAGUUCUGAAAAGUAAUCCUUCCUCCCUCCCUCCCUAUCUUCCUUCCUUCCUCCCUCCCUUCCUUCCUGUCUGCCUCCCUCCCACGUGUCCUCCCUCCCUCCCUGCCUUCUAGCCUGUCUUCCUUCCUGUCUUCGUGUCUCCCUUCCAGCCUGCCUCUUUUCCUCUCUCCCUUCCUUCCUACAUUCCUCCCACCUGUCCUCCCUCCCUCCCUUUCCUUCCUUCAUUCCCAGCACCCUUCCUGCCUCCCUCCCUCACUCCUUCCUCCCUGCCUUCCUACCUCCCUCGCUCUCUUCCUUCCUGUCUGCCUGCCUGCCUUUCUCCCUUCCUUCCUUCCUCCCUCCCGUCCUCCCUGCCUUUUUUCCUUCCUCCCUUCCUUCGUGCUUUCCUGUCACUUUCUCUCACUCCCUCUCUUCCUUCCUUCCUCCCCUCCCUGCCUUUUUUCCUUCCUCCCUUCCUUCGUGCUUUCCUGUCACUUUCUCUCACUCCUUCUCUUCAUACCUCCCUCC